CCACCUUUUUGCUUCUCUCGGCGAAACUUAUACGCAGAAGGAGUUCGAGGAACUAUGCUUCAAAUUCGGCAUCGAGCUCGAUGAUGUUACUACGGAGAAAGCCAUUAUUCGGAAAGAGAAGCAUCUUGAAGAAGAAGAAGAGGCAGAAGCUGGUGACGAGGAUGAGGAAGUCAUUUAUAAGAUCGAGGUCGCAGCCAAUAGAUAUGAUUUGCUCUGUCUUGAAGGAAUUGCUCGAGCUCUCAGAAUUUUCAUUGAAAAGGAAGCAAGCCCUUU